CAGGCCUACACAUGCAAGUCUAACGGACGCAGCAAUGCGUCAGUGGCAGACGGGUGAUAACACGUGGGAACGUACCCUUCGGUUCGGAACAACCCAGGGAAACUUGGCUAAUACCGGAUACGUCCGCAAGGAGAAAGAUUUAUCGCCGAAGGAACGCCCGCGUCCGAUUAGCUUGUUGGUGAGGUAAUGGCUCACCAAGGCGACAUCGGUAGCUGGUCUAAGAGGAUGAUCAGCCUCACUGGGACUGAGACACGCCCAGACUCCUACGGGAGGCAGCAGUGGGGAAUAUUGGACAAUGGGCGAAGCCUGAUCCAGCCAUGCCGCGUGGGUGAUGAAGGCCCUAGGGUUGUAAGCCCUUUCAGCGGGGAAGAUAAUGACGGUACCCGCAGAAGAAGCCCCGCUAACUUCGUGCCAGCAGCCGCGGUAAU
rnacentral:rRNA from 1 species